GGCUGGUGGGGGAGCGCAGCGAUGUUCACAACUAAUUGAUCACAACCAGUGACAGAUUCCUUUGUUCCUUCUCCACUCCCACUGCUUCAUUUGACUAUCCUUUA
rnacentral:Y_RNA from 1 species